GAUGAACGCUGGCGGCGGGCUUAACACAUGCAAGUCGAACGGAAAGGCUCCUGCUUGCAGGGGUACUCGAAUGGCGAACGGGUGGGUAACACGUGGGUGAUCUGCCCUGCACUUCGGGAUAAGCCUUGGAAACUGGGUCUAAUACCGGAUAGGACCACAUCUUGGAUGGUGUGGUGGAAAGUUUUUCGGUGUGGGAUCAGCUAGCGGCCGAUCAGCUUGGUGGUGGGGUAAUGGCCUACCAAGGCGUCGACGGGUAGCCGGCCUGCUAGAGUGUAGGGCCACUCUGGGAUUGAGAUACGGCCCAGACUCCUACGGGAGGCAGCAGUGGGGAAUAUUGCACAAUGCGCGCAAGCCUGUUGCAGCGACGCCGCGUGGGGGUUGACGGCCUUCGGGUUGUAGAAACCUUUCGCUAUGGACAAAGCGUUUUUGUGACGUUACCUGGAGAAGAAGCACCGGCUAACUACGUG
rnacentral:rRNA from 1 species